UGGCGUCUGAGAGCAUUUCCCUGUUCUGGUUCGUUCCUUUUCUGCUUCUGCUUCUGCUUCUGCUUCUGCUUCUACUUCUGUUUGUCCCUGUGCAAAAAGUCUCGGCCCACUGCGUACUUGCCACUGAGCUACCAUGAUUUAUCUCCCUCGUGAUGACUCUGGGCAGAGUACGGCGGGGACCCUGAGGGCGAGGGUUUCGCCUUUUGUCAUUGUAGGGGCCAAAAGGAAGUCAAUCUCUUCCUAUGACGAUCUGCCUCCUUCGCCGCCACGGCUUCCCCUCGUCGGCAACCUUCAUCAGCUGGGCCCUUUCAUCCACAAGUCCCUCGCCGCCCUCUCCAGCCGCCACGGUCCUCUCAGCCACCUCCGCCUCGGCCGCGUCCCGACCCUCGUCGUCUCCUCCCCCGACGCUGCCCGGGAUGUCCUCCGCACCCACGAUCACAUAUGCGCCAGCCGCUCCUCCACCACCGUCACCCGCAUCCUCCUCGAUGGCUGCAGCGACAUGGCCUUCGCCCCCUACGGCGACGAGUGGAGGCAACGCCGCCGAAUCUGCACGCUCCACUUGCUGAGCCCUAAGAUGGUGCAGUCCUACGCUCUGAUCCGCGAGCAGGAGGUGGCCGCCAUGAUCUCCGCCAUCUGCUCCCGUGGAUCGGCGGCGGAGAUCGACAUGUCCGCCGUCCUGUUUGCCUUCUCCAACGACAUCCUGUGUCGGAUCGUCACGGGGAAGAAGUUCGAAGGGAGGAAAGGGUUGUUCUCGAAGCUCAUCUCAGAGAACUCGGUGCUGCUGGCCAAGAUUUAUCUCGGGGAUUACCUUCCGUGGCUCGGUUGGGUGGAUUGGUUGCUCGGCAACGUGGCGCGAGUGAAGAAGAACCAUAAGAGGUGGGACGAUCUGCUGGAUCAGGUUAUCAAGGAACAUGAAGAGCGAGUGUCGUCGGAUGAUGAGAAAGAUUUCGUGGAUGUUUUGAUCUCCCUUCAGAAGGAUCCCGUGUUGGAAUCCAUCCUCACUCCGGAAGUCAUCAAGGCGCUUCUUCAGGACAUGUUCGCCGCCGGAACAGAGACGUCAUACAUAACUCUGGAAUGGGCCAUGGCGGAGCUGGUUCGCAACCCGAGCAAGAUGCAAAAACUGCAAGACCAAGUGAGAAGCGUAGCCGGCGGCGGAGGCAAAAUGGUGAAAGAGGAAGAACUUUGCCAGAUGCCCUACUUGAAGGCCGUCAUCAAGGAGACCUUCCGGCUGCAUCCCCCCAUUCCAUUACUUCUACCGCGAGAACUGCUGGACGAUUGCCCGGUUCAAGGCUACAACAUCCAGAAGAAGACGAGACUGUUCGUUAAUGCAUGGGCGAUGGGCAGAGAUCCGAAGUGCUGGGAAGCGCCCUUUGAGUUCCAGCCGGAGAGGUUCAUGGACGGCGAAGUUGACUUCACCGGGAAUGACCUCCGGUUCAUUCCGUUUGGAGCGGGCCGAAGGAUUUGCCCUGGAUUGAACUUCGCCGUGGCAUCUCUGGAGCUUGCUCUGGCGAACUUGGUGCAUCGGUAUGAUUGGGAGCUGCCUGUUGGAUUGAGCAGGGAGGAGUUCGGCAUGGAGGAGGUGGCGGGCUUAAUGGUCCAGCGAGAAGGGCGACUCAAUGUCGUUGCCAAAACGUGGGAUGGAUAGAAUUAACUCAUAUUCUACGUCAACAAUGAAUUGGUGAAACCUGAUGCUUCGAGUCAGUUCAAUGUACACUUGGCUCUGAGCGCUUGAGGGCUCCGCUUGAAUCCGAGUUAUAGAGACUGAGGUGGAGAACAUCAUCUUAAUGGCAGCUGCAGAUGCUAAGUUGCUAAUGGUUCUAUGGUAUCAGAGCUUGAAAGGAGUCUUGCUGAGGCUGAUAUGUAGGACGACGACGUGUUAGCUGUUGUUGCCUGUGAGGAAGUUGUGUGCGAAGUCUACUACUCCCGAACUCGCUGAAGGACAUCUUGUGACAAAAGACGUAACCGUCGUAAGACGCAAGAGGCGCAGCAGGGAGAAGUUGAGUCCUCGAGGUGAAGGCUUGAGUGUCAGCUCGUCGUAGCAGGAAGUAGCCACAGCUGCCCGAGCAAGUUGCUGCAUCGAAGCGCAAGUUCGCUCUGCUCACUGCCUCAACACCAUCUCUAAUCAAGAAUCUUUAGUAGGAAUGGAAGGAUCCUACUAUUAUUGCUCGGAUGGUGAAGAACAACAUGGUUUCUAUGAUUACACGGGAGACUCCUCCGGUCCAACGAACAUCAAGGUCUGGAGCGACUCAGACUACAACGAGGGAAGAAGUGAAGGCCACUUCUACUAUCCUUACGAGGGCUCGUCUUCUCCGCAAUCACCAGUCUUGGGUUUUGUGUAAAUGAAGCGUCUACACCUUCAUCUGACGAAGCACAGUCACAACCCGACUAUCCUUGCCAGCACGCUUCAGCGACCGAAUCAGCUGGUUCCCGACACUCUGAUCCUGGCGAAAAUCACACCUCAUCCGAAUGGGAAACGGACGAUGGUACCGGCUCAGCGGCUAGCAACACAUCAGGUAAUACUUGUACUAGUUCCGCUGACCAAACUGACUCCUGCAGGAACUCCUCAAAUGCAACAUUAACAUCCUCGUGGGACACUGCAUCAACGGACGAGUCAGCGUCUUCAUGGGAGACAGCUAUGACCUGCUCCUGUGAGGCAGUUGAUGAGUCUGUAGCAUGCCAACGCUGCCGACAGGCUGAAGAAGCUCAGAGACGGGACGAUGAGCCGCCUCAGGAUUGAAAGGAUGUCCCAUCAUUUUUCGGAAGGUGGUGGGGGAAAGUGGUGACCUAGCGGCAUCGCCGCCUUCGCUGCGUCUUCCAAGAGCGCCACUGCCACGACGACCGAGUCCGUAUUUCUGGCGCUGGAAGAGCAUGAUGAGCUCCAGCGUAGGGCGAUGCCUGGAGACGAAGAAGAAGCUGGCCGAGCAGAAACAGGCCCGUGGGCCUUGUACUGUUCAGAAAGCUAUCUCGGCCCCUGCUGCAAAUCCAAUCGUGACCCAUAAUUCAAGCCUGGCCAGAAACAAAGCCUGCACAGGCGAAGCCGAGAAGACGGUGCUUCCGUUGGAAGACUGUUCAGAAGAGACUACGGAGAGCUACCGCGACACACAUCGUGAAGAUUGGUAACGGAGUUGCUGGUCCAUCAGGUAAGAACUAGCGGAGCGUGGUGGACCCAGGUUAUUCGCCCGUUCCUUUGUCUGUGUCGGCCGAUGUUGGCCAGUGUCUUGUAACGUGGCUGAGUCAGCUAUGAAUCUUUUCCUUUUGUCGUGUCGAACAGUGUGCCUGAAAAGCACCCAAAGGUGGUCGUCCAUAUGCCAUACUGUUCAACAGGGGUCCACUUGAAUUCCUGGUUUUGGUAAACCAACAGCGGGCUCAUGGUUUUGAGCCCAAGAUUUUGCAAAAGUGGCGCUGCCCCGCCACUUUGUCUAGACUUAGUGGAGAAGAAAGCAUCUCUGCAUGCGAUGA